rfam:Dipodomys ordii contig_45087, whole genome shotgun sequence.
ACUAAAUGGUCUUCCUUCCUGGACCUUUUUCCCUGGGACUGCGGCGCAGCCUCCAGGAGUGAAGUUAUGCGGGGCUGCGUCGCUGGAGUUACCCGUGCGGCCUUUGG